GUUCCCUCAUAAAACAGAACUCUCUCACCAACCAACACCGAGGUUCCCUCAUAAAACAGAACUCUCUCACCAACCAACACCGAGGUUCCCUCAUAAAACAGAACUCUCUCACCAACCAACACCGAGGUUCCCUCAUAAAACAGAACUCUCUCACCAACCAACACCGAGGUUCCCUCAUAAAACAGAACUCUCUCACCAACCAACACCGAGGUUCCCUCAUAAAACAGAACUCUCUCACCAACCAACACCGAGGUUCCCUCAUAAAACAGAACUCUCUCACCAACCAACACCGAGGUUCCCUCAUAAAACAGAACUCUCUCACCAACCAACACUGAGGUUCCCUCAUAAAACAGAACUCUCUCACCAACCAACACCGAGGUUCCCUCAUAAAACAGAACUCUCUCACCAACCAACACCGAGGUUCCCUCAUAAAACAGAACUCUCUCACCAACCAACACCGAGGUUCCCUCAUAAAACAGAACUCUCUCACCAACCAACACCGAGGUUCCCUCAUAAAACAGAACUCUCUCACCAACCAACACCGAGGUUCCCUCAUAAAACAGAACUCUCUCACCAACCAACACCGAGGUUCCCUCAUAAAACAGAACUCUCUCACCAACCAACACCGAGGUUCCCUCAUAAAACAGAACUCUCUCAACAACCAACACCGAGGUUCCCUCAUAUAACAGAACUCUCUCACCAACCAACACCGAGGUUCCCUCAUAAAACAGAACUCUCUCACCAACCAACACUGAGGUUCCCUCAUAAAACAGAACUCUCUCACCAACCAACACUGAGGUUCCCUCAUAAAACAGAACUCUCUCACUCACACACAAACAGCCUAUA